rnacentral:rRNA from 1 species
AUUGAACGCUGGCGGCAGGCUUAACACAUGCAAGUCGAGCGGGGUGAUGGUGCUUGCACUAUCACUUAGCGGCGGACGGGUGAGUAAUGCUUAGGAAUCUGCCUAUUAGUGGUGGACAACAUCUCGAAAGGGAUGCUAAUACCGCAUACGUCCUACGGGAGAAAGCAGGGGAUCACUUGUGACCUUGCGCUAAUAGAUGAGCCUAAGUCGGAUUAGCUAGUUGGUGGGGUAAAGGCCUACCAAGGCGACGAUCUGUAGCGGGUCUGAGAGGAUGAUCCGCCACACUGGGACUGAGACACGGCCCAGACUCCUACGGGAGGCAGCAGUGGGGAAUAUUGGGCAAUGGGGGGAACCCUGAUCCAGCCAUGCCGCGUGUGUGAAGAAGGCCUUAUGGUUGUAAAGCACUUUAAGCGAGGAGGAGGCUCUUUUGGUUAAUACCCAAGAUGAGUGGACGUUACUCGCAGAAUAAGCACCGGCUAACUCUGUGCCAGCAGCCGCCGUAA